CCUACGGGUGGCAGCAGUGGGGAAUAUUGGACAAUGGGGGCAACCCUGAUCCAGCCAUGCCGCGUGUGUGAAGAAGGCCCUCGGGUUGUAAAGCACUUUCAGUGAGGAAGAACGCCUGGUGGUUAAUACCCAUCAGGAAAGACAUCACUCACAGAAGAAGCACCGGCUAACUCCGUGCCAGCAGCCGCGGUAAUACGGAGGGUGCGAGCGUUAAUCGGAAUUACUGGGCGUAAAGCGCGCGUAGGUGGCUUGAUAAGCCGGUUGUGAAAGCCCCGGGCUCAACCUGGGAACGGCAUCCGGAACUGUCAAGCUAGAGUGCAGGAGAGGAAGGUAGAAUUCCCGGUGUAGCGGUGAAAUGCGUAGAGAUCGGGAGGAAUACCAGUGGCGAAGGCGGCCUUCUGGACUGACACUGACACUGAGGUGCGAAAGCGUGGGUAGCAAACAGGAUUAGAGACCCCGGUAGUC
rnacentral:rRNA from 1 species